rnacentral:sRNA from 1 species
ACAGAACCAGUGCUUGACCACUUUAUACUUUUCAAUGACGUCUUUGAGGGUGUCAUGGUCAGAAUGGACAUUGAGACAUUCAGUUAUACGACUGUACCACUACAGUUAACGAACUUCACGCCUAUAGCCUUAACCUUUGACCCCACACUACAACAGAUUUACUUCUCUGAAGUGAAAAACCAAACGUCUGCUAUACGA